rnacentral:tRNA from 1 species
GGGGGCGGAUGGGGCCCGGUGGCCUCCCCAAUCUUCAAAAUUGUGUGAGUGGGGGUGCUCCCCUCACUGGUGGGUUCGACUCCCAUGCGCCCUCG